GAUGAACGCUGGCGGCGUGCCUAAUACAUGCAAGUCGAGCGAACAGACGAGGAGCUUGCUCUUCUGACGUUAGCGGCGGACGGGUGAGUAACACGUGGAUAACCUACCUAUAAGACUGGGAUAACUUCGGGAAACCGGAGCUAAUACCGGAUAAUAUAUUGAACCGCACGGUUCAAUAGUGAAAGACGGUCUUGCUGUCACUUAUAGAUGGAUCCGCGCCGCAUUAGCUAGUUGGUAAGGUAACGGCUUACCAAGGCAACGAUGCGUAGCCGACCUGAGAGGGUGAUCGGCCACACUGGAACUGAGACACGGUCCAGACUCCUACGGGAGGCAGCAGUAGGGAAUCUUCCGCAAUGGGCGAAAGCCUGACGGAGCAACGCCGCGUGAGUGAUGAAGGUCUUCGGAUCGUAAAACUCUGUUAUUAGGGAAGAACAAAUGUGUAAGUAACUAUGCACGUCUUGACGGUACCUAAUCAGAAAGCCACGGCUAACUACGUG
rnacentral:rRNA from 1 species